UGAGUCUUCGGACAAGUCCGUUUUUCCAGCCUACAUUGCUUGUGCAAUGGGGAUGAGAUAAUUAUGUAUCAGCAUAACUAUCAGUUCUACAGGCAUACAGUUUUUCCAUAGCCAUAGCUCACCAGACACAUUGAAAAUGUUAGAUAUAGAAGGUUGUUUGCAGUGUUGCUAUAGCCGUAUUGGUCCCAAGAUAUAAGAGACACAAGUGUCAAGCAUCUGGGUGCAGCUGUGGAUUUCUUUCCCCCACUCUGUUUAUAGGCAGUCCAUAGCCUAAUUCAUAUGAACUCGCCAGCAUCAGGUGUCACGCAGCACAGUCUGAUGAAAAACAUAUGUCUGCCGAGGUCUACAUGAGUCCACAGCCUCUGGUGACCCUCCUAACUGGUUGACAAUAGCAUGUAACUGAUGAAGAAAGUGGCAACAAAG